CCAAAAUAAUGGACCUCUUCUUCAAUUAAAAAAUAGCUUUUUCUUUUUUUCUUUAUCAUUAUCAAUGCCCUUAGAAUCAAUUGCCCUUAAAAUACGGUUUAAGGUAGACUUGGCAGGAAAUGUCAGCAGCGUUACCUAAGCAGCAUACCCUGAUUCGUAACAAGCUCACUUUGGAUUUCUUUAGAAAUAGAAGCUCAAUGUUAUGUCAUCAUCGGCGGAAGACAUUUCAGUUUCAAGCUCUAAGAGGGAGAAUCUGGGAGAACAACAACUUUUAAGAAAUGCACAGGAGGGAGCCUCUCUCAUACCUUUACAGGGUUUCCUGGGAGCUGGAAAAGGGAGCCUUUACAUCAUCUUGCUGGGCUAAAACUUCCUCUUGCUUCAUUUACGUUUUUCUUUUAAGGCACAGGUCUUUUUUGUGGUCCACGGAAGGAAACCCAGGCUCCUUUGCGUUUUAAGCCUUCAUUCGGCAUCCCAGUCCAGUGAGAAGGAAGAGAAUCAGCCUCAAACCCUGGACAGGGUCUCCUUGGCUGCCUUUCACGUGGGUGAUGCCUUCAAGCCUUUAGGAAUGGAUGUAGUGUGGGCUUUCUUAGUCUUUUACCCAAGUUUCUGACAUCCACAGCAGAGCCAUGAAAACCUUCCUAGUUUUAUUCCAUAGCCUGAUUUUGGACCUGCGAAAUGGAGGCUUUGAACAGCAGGCACAGAGCGCUGUUCUGCCUUGGAGGGUGGGAGGUGGAGAGAGCCAUUCCUUGUCUUUGGGAGCUGGAGAAGGGCUGCCAGCACCCAGCUGGGGCGAAGUGGGUUUGUCAGAGUUCUUACUCAUUUGCUCUCCUCCAGUAGCUUUAAUAGGAAAUACGGAUCUAAGCCCAAACACGUAAUUCAAGCUGAAAAAAUGUGUUGUGCCGACACCGACUUGGGCCUCCUGGGGGCCUUCUAAGACCUGAGCAUGUGUGAUGUUUUAGCUCAAUGAUGGGCCUCCACUCAUCAACAUGAGAGUUCAGUUCAUAUGUCGAGCAGCUACCUGAUUGGGCUGUGUCUCCAGCCCUGCCUCCUGUGAGUACUUGAAGACAUGGAAGACACGUCUAUCGAUGUCAACCAUAGAAGACAUGGUUGACAACCUUGGGGAAUUUACAAUCCCAUAUAAGAAAACAGCCAACGAAAGGACCAAGAUGUUUGGAUGUUUGCAAGGUGACUUCAGGAUCAUUUAUUAUUCUGUAACCCGGCAAGGAUCAUAUCAGGGCCUACUUCAUGUGCGAGGUGGUGGCACGAGGGUAUCAUACGAAAAGAACUUAGCACCAUGCCAGGCACACUAUGCGUACUUAAAAAUAUUAUCUGUGACAUCGUGAAUAUUGUAGUUAUUAUGCUACAUGACAGGUCUUUUUCUUGGCUUCAUCAGCCUGAGACUGAAAUAGUCAUAACAACAGAAAUGAAGAAAAUAUUUCCCUACGUUGAUCUGAAGAACUGGGGACCCUCCUAGACCUGAUACCUUGAGGAAGCCAGACAUGCUGCAGGGCCUCUCACAGACCUUCAGGAAUAAGCAAAGCAGCAAGUGACUUAGGUGUUCACCGUGUGCAGUUUGUGGGCAGGAGCCCUGGAAUUGAGCAUCCGUCAGAAUCACAGAACGUUCACUAUUGCUUCUGAUCCAGCAUGAACAACACUGACAGACACAGAGGGGACCCAUCUCGGUCUGCAAGGAAUAUGCUGUUUAAGACUUUUCUGAGUCCCUAUUUCCCGACCCAGGAUCCGACUCUUCCCACGAUGCCUGGGAGCGCAAACACCCCUCCCUUCAGGGGAAAUCUGACCUCUCACCCACAAGAGUGCGGUCUCAGCUCCGACCCCAUUCCCCACCAGGGCGAUCGCUGCAGAGCACAAUAUCCCAACAGCAGUACCGUUCCCAGCCCUGGGGGAUUCAGCCUUAAAUAAUACCACAUGUCUGACAUUCCCGGACAGUCCUGCUUCCAGCUUUGCCCAGCCCAGCCCAAUUUCUUUUUUUUUAUGGUGGUUUUCCUGCUUGAAGUAAAGGUUAUGCCUGCACAGCCCUCCUGCAGCUUUAUCAGUCUCAGGUCCCCAGCUCCUGUCAGCAACUGCUCAAACAAGAACACACACACACCCCUCCAAAAGAAAAAGCAAAAGUAUACA